AUUGUACAUUAAAUCAAAUUCCUUUUUGAAAGUAAGCAGAAUGUAAAUAAUAAUGUAUUGAGUGGCCUUCUGUUAAAAUGAAUUUCUAGACUUAUUUUUGGAAGUCUUUAAUAUAAAUCUUUAUAUGCAAUAUGGUGAAUAAACUUGAGACUUGCUUAUCUAAACUCCACAUUUUUUUCCCCUAAAGAUUUUGCUAUUUCUGCCGAUUUUAUUUUACUUUUUACAAGUUCAUUUUUUAUAUGUGUAAAGCUGUGCUCAGAGCAUUAAUGAGGGGGUGGGACAGCUACACAUAUGAAGAGGCAGUGGAUGUUGUCAGCAUUUAGUCUGGCAGUAUCUUUUCAAUGAAUAUAGAAGGAUUUGAUGAUAUUUUAUCAUUUGUCAAAAAGAAAAAGAAAGAAAGAAAGAAAUCCAAUAAAUUAUUAAAAAUUAUGAAAGGUGAAAAUGGGUUUUCUCCUGAUCACACAUAUAUUGGAUAGUACUUUUCUGAAUAGAUGCCGAGGAGAUUCCUCUUCCUUUCCCAUGUGAGUCUUGUUGCCCUGAAUUUUGGCAGAUGACGGCAUACCUUGGAAAUAUUGUGUAUUCAGUUGCAAACCACAAUAGUCAAGUAAAUAUUGCAAUAAAGUGAGUCACAUGAAUUUUUUUGGUUUCCCAGUGCAUAUAAAAGUUACACUACAUGGUAGUCUGUAAAGUGCGCAAAAUAUUAUGUCUAAAAAAUGUGUAUACCUUAAUUUAAAAACACUUCAUUGCUUAAAAAAAAAAUGCUGUCAUCUGAACUUUUGGUGAGUUGUAAUCUUUUUUUUUUUUUUUUUUUUUUUCGCCAGUGAAGGGUUCUGUUUUGAUAUUGAUGGGUGCUGAUUGAUCAGGGUGCUGGUGGCUGAAGAUUGGGCUGGCUGUGUGGCAGUUUCUUAAAACAAGACAACAGUGACAUUUACUGCAUUGAUUGACUCAUCCUUUCAUGAAUGAUGACUUCUCUGUAGCAUGCAAUGCUGUUUGAUGGCAUUUUACCUCCAGUAGAACUUCUUUCACAAAUGGAGUCAGUCCUCUCAAACUCUGCCACUGCUUUAUGAACUACGUUUAUGUAAUAGAUUAAUUUUUUGUUGUCAUUUCAACAAUCUUCACAGCAUCUUCACCAAGAGUAGAUUUUAUCCCAAGAACCAUUUUCUUUGCUCAUCUGUAAAGCUGCUCUUCACUUGUGAAAGUUUUAUCAUAAGAUUGUGGUGAGUGACCCACACCUGUGGCUUCCACUUCUAAUUCUAGUUCUUUUGCUGUUUCCACCACAUCUGUAGUUACUUCCUCCACUGAGAUUUUGAAUCCCUCAAAGUUAUCCAGGAGAAUUGUAAUCACCCUCUGCCAAAGUCCUAUAAGUGUCGUUAUUUUGACCUCUUCCCAUGAGUCAGGAAUGAUCUUAAUGGCAUCUAGAAUGGUGAAUCCUUUCUAGAACGUUUUCAAUUGACUUUGCCCAGAUCCAUCAGAGGAAUCACUGUCUAGGCAGCUAUAGCCUUAUGAAAUAUAUUUCUUAAAUAAUAAGACUUUCAAGUUGAAAUCACUCCUUGAUCCAUGGCUGCAGAAUGGUUUCUGUGUUAGCAGCCAUGAAAACAACAUUGAUCUCAUCAUCCACUCCCAUCAGAGCUCUUGGGUGACCAGGUAUUUUAUCAGGGAGCAAUCAUAUUUUGAAAGAAAUCUUUUUUUUCUGAGCAGCACGUCUUAACAGUGGGCUUAAAAUAUUCAGUAAAACAUGUUGUCAACCAAUGUACUGUCAUCCAGGCCUUGUUGUUCCAUUUAUGGAGCUCAGGCAGAGUAGAUUUAGUAGAAUUCUUAAGGGCUCUGUUAUUUUCUCAAUAGUAAGUGAGCAUUGGCUUAAACUUCACAUCACUUGCUGCAUCUCCUAACAAGGGAGUCAGCCUGUCUUUUGAAGCCCCCCCCCCCCCUUUUUGGUCUUUUUGCCUUUUCUAGGGUCACACUAGUGGCAUGUGGAGGUUCCCAGGCUAGGGGUCGAAUUGGAGCUGUAGCCACCAGCCUACGCCAGAGCCACAGCAACUUUGGAAACGAGAUGUGUCUGCGACCUACACCACAGCUCAUGGCAAUGCCAGAUCCUUAACCCACUGAGCAAGGCCAGGGAUCGAACCUGCAACCUUGUGGUUCCUAGUCGGAUUCGUUAAAACCACUGUGCCACGACGGGAACUCCCUGUCUUUUGAAGCUUUAAAGCCAGGCAUUGACUUCUCCUCUGUAGCUAUGAAAAUGCUAGGUGGCAUCUUCUUCCAAUAUAAGGCUGUUUCAUCUACAUUGAAAGAUCAUUGUUUAGCAUAGCCGCCCUCACUAAUCAUCUUAGUUAGAACUUCUGGAUAACUUGCUGCAGCUUCUGCAUCAGCACUUGCAGUUUCACCUUGAACUUUUAUGUUAUGGAGACAACUUUUCCUUAAACCUCAUGAACCGUCCUCUACUAGCUCCAAACUUUUCUUGUGCAGCUUCCUCACCUCUCUCAGACUUCCUAGAUUUGAAGAGAGUUAGGGUUUUGAUCUGGAUUAGGGAAUGUUGUGGCUUCAGGGAAUGUUGGGGCUGGUUUGAUCUUCUAUCCAAACCAUUACAACUUUCUCCGUAUCUGCAAUGAGGCUGUUGUGCUUUCUUAUCAUUCACAUGUUCACUGGGGUAGCAUCUUUAAUUUCCUUCAAGAGCUUCUUUUUCACAUUCACAGCUUGGCUAACUGUUUGGCACAAGAGUGGGCUUUCAGCCCAUCUCACCUUUCGCCAUCUCACCUUUCACUUGAGCACUUAGAGGACAUUGUAGGGUUGUUAAUUUUCCUGAUUUCAAUAUUGUUGUGUCUCGGGGAAUAGGGAGGCUCCAGGAGAUGGAGAGAGAUGGGGGGAUGGUUGGUGGGUGGAACAGUCAGAACACCCACAGCCUUUAUGGACUAAGCCAUCUUACAUGGGUGCAGUAUAUGGUCCCCCAAACAACGAAAAUAGUAACAUAAAGAUCACUGAUCAGAGGUCGCCGCAGCAUUUAUCAUAAUAAUGAAAACGUUUGAGAUAUUGCGAAGGUCACCAGAAUAGGACACAGAGACAUAAGGUGAGCACAUGUUGGAAAAAUGGUGCUGAUAGACAUGCUUGAUGCAGGGUUGCCACAAACCUUCAGUUGGUAGAAGAGCUCAGUGACACAUCAUAUGCCUGUAAUUGUAGUGAACACUGGUACCGCGUCCUUUCUACUUCGUAUGUGUGAGACACCAGGAAGAAAAUCAAAAUCACCUACUUAGUAAUUUAAGGUUUUUUUGCCCUCUCCCCACCUAUCCCAUGCAUGCUCUCCCUGUGGGCUGUAUUUCCCAUUAGGGACAUUCCAAGGAAACUGAAAAGGUGAGCACUGCGGGCCCUAACCUCAUCCUAGCUCUGGAUUCCUAGGAACUAGAGGAAACAUGCCCCUUGCAUGUACUUGGCUCUGCAAACCGAGGCAACAGAUUGUCUUCAUGAAGUUUGUCAUGGUCAACGGGAAAACACACACACACACACACACACACACACACACACACACACCCACACACACCCACACACCAACUCUUGCGGUUUACUUGUUCCUUAUCUUUGCUUUGGACCAAAUUAUUUCCUUUCUUUGGAGCCUGCUCUCUUCCAAGUCUUUAGAUUUGUGCCAACCAUAGCCUCUUAGAUGAACCCCAAUGUCUCCCAUGACAGUGUGGCUUUUUUUUUUUUUUUUAAAUGUUGGUGCCUGUAUGACUAGACACAAGCCAUGGUGGGAAAGUGAUUUUUGGCUUGCUUUUGGUGCCUGUAUUUUUUCUGACUUGCUUAUGGAUACCUCUUUCUAUUCCUUUUCUUGGAGUAUCAGGUUAUUAGAAAACCUGACACCCUUUCCCUUCAUUGAAAUGUAUUAAAAGUAGUGAUGCUACCAAAUCCUUAUGUUUGGAAAGCCAAGAAACUGGCAUGUGGAUGUGGGGCAUAGAAGUAGGGGAGAUGGAGGCUUAAGGUAGUCACCCCUCACCAGGUGGGUUAGAUGACUGGGCUCCCUUCCUGGACUUGCUCCGAAAAAUCUUAUUAAAUGUGACAUAAAUCACUAGUCUUUACUAUUGGCAUGCUUUUCAAGGAUGCUGCCUUUAGAAUUUUCCUUGCUGUGUUUAAAUGUUGAUCUACAGUUUAUUGUGUGGCCAUUGCAUAAUAGUUAAGUUGCAUAAUCUUUUUGUGUGGCAAUGUCCUGAGCUGGGUUCAAUAAUAGUACUACCUACCUCCCAUGGAGGUCAGGAGUAUCUUUAUCUGGGUCAUUGCCUUGGGCAGUGCCUGGUACCCAGUGAGCAUUCAGAAAGUGACUGCUGCCAUCACACAGCAGCAGCAGCAAAAGAUAAAGUUUUGCUCUGGAGUUAGACCUUGGGUUUGAAUCCUGGCUCAGCUGUUUCUAGUCCUGAGAUCCUGACUUUAUUUAUAUUCCUUUGCUACAAAAUUUCUGUACACAGGGUACCUCUCUCGGAAGAUUUUCGUAGGGGCAGUUCCUGUUGUUGUUCAGUGGUUACAAACCCGACUAAUAUCCUUGAGGACAUGGGUUCGAUCCCUGGCCUCGCUCAGUGGGUUAAGGAUCCGGCGUUGCCAUGAGCUGUGGUGUAGGUUGCAGACGCGGCUCAGAUCCCGUGUUGCUGUGGCUCUGGCGUAGGCCGGUGGCUUCAGCUCUGAUUGGACCCCUGGCCUGGGAACCUCCAUAUGCUGUGGGUGCAGCCCUAAAAAGACAAAAAGUAAAAUAAGGGGGAAAAAACUAUAACGGCAAUGUAUACAUCUAAGGAUAACCUGAUCCCCUUGCUGUACAGUGGGAAAAUUAAAAAAAAAAAAAAA
ensembl:lncRNA